AUGUACUAUGUGUGUCCCACUUUGCACACUUGUGCAACGCUCUUUGGACACAUCAGCACCCUGCUUUGCACGCUCGUGCAACGCAUUUUGGACACGUCCGUGCACACUCGUGCAAUGCUCUUCAGACACAUCCACACCCCGCUUUGCACGCUCGUGCAACGCUCUUUGGACACAUCUGCACCAUGCUUUGCACGCUCGUGCAACGUUAUUUGGACACAUCCCACGCUCGUGCAAUGCUCUUCGGACACAUCCACACCCUGCUUUGCACACUCGUGCAACGCUCUUUGGACACAUCCACACCCUGCUUUGCACACUCGUGUAACACUCUUUGGACACAUCUGCCCCCUGCUUUGCACACUCGUGCAACGCUCUUUGGACACGUCCGUGCACGCUCGUGCAACGCUCUUCAGACACAUCCGCACCCCACUUUGCAUGCUCGUGCAACACUCUUUGGACACCUCCCACACUCGUGUAACACUCUUUGGACACGUCUGCACCCCGCUUUGCACACUUGUUCAACGCUCUUCGGACUUGUCUGCACCCGACUUUGCACACUUAUGCAACGCUCUUCAGACACAUCCACACCCCGUUUUGCACGCUCGUGCAACGCUCUUUGGACACCUUCCACACUCGUGUAACACUCUUCGGACACAUCUGCACCCCACUUUGCACACUCAUGCAACGCUCUUCGGACACAUCUACACCCUGCUUUGCACACUUGCUCAACGCUCUUCCGACUCGUCUGCGUCCCACUUUGCACACUUGUUCAAUGCUCUUCGGACACAUCCGCACCCCGCUUUGCACGCUCGUGCAAUGCUCUGUCUGUGCCCCACUUUGCACGCUGGUGCAACACUCUCCGGACACAUCUGCACCCCACUUUGCACACUCAUGCAACGCUCUUUGGACACAUCUGCACCCUGCUUUGCACACUUGCUCAACGCUCUUCCAACUCGUCUGCACCCCACUUUGCACGCUUGUGCAACGCUCUUUGGACACAUCCCACACUCGUGUAACACUCUUCGGACACAUCUGCACCCCGCUUUGCACACUCGUGUAACGCUUUUUGGACACAUCCGCACCCCGCUUUGCACGCUCGUGCAACGCUCUGUCUGUGCCCCACUUUGCACGCUGGUGCAACACUCUUCGGACACAUCUGCACCCCACUUUGCACACUCAUGCAACGCUCUUUGGACACAUCUACACCCUGCUUUGCACACUUGCUCAACGCUCUUCCGCCUCGUCUGCACCACGCUUUGCACGCUCGUGCAACGCUCUUUGGACACAUCCGCACCCCGCUUUGCACGCUCGUGCAACGCUCUG
rnacentral:lncRNA from 1 species